rnacentral:rRNA from 1 species
UACGUAGGGUGCAAGCGUUGUCCGGAAUUAUUGGGCGUAAAGAGCUUGUAGGCGGUUUGUCGCGUCUGCUGUGAAAUUUCGGGGCUCAACCCCGAACUUGCAGUGGGUACGGGCAAACUAGAGUGCGGUAGGGGAGAUUGGAAUUCCUGGUGUAGCGGUGGAAUGCGCAGAUAUCAGGAGGAACACCGAUGGCGAAGGCAGAUCUCUGGGCCGUAACUGACGCUGAGGAGCGAAAGCGUGGGGAGCGAACAGG